GUAACCAGGUCCAGUAGUUAUACCAAAAAGUCCCAGUUUCAGGUAGAAGAGGAGGACAUAGAGAAGCUGGAAGUCAGGAUUGAUCUAUGGAACAAUGGAAACCUGGUGCAAGAUGUCUUCCUAGGAGAAAUUAAGGUUCCAGUGAAAGUGUUAGGAAAUGAUUCCUUCCAAGCAUGGUACUUACUACAACCAAGAGAAAAUGGAAACAAACCCUCUAAAACUGAUGAUCUGGGAUCACUUAGACUAAAUGUUUGUUAUACUGAAGACUAUGUACUUCCAUCUGAGUACUAUGCUUCUUUAAGAAAUUUGCUGCUAAAAUCACCAGAUGUUCAGCCAGUCUCUGCUUCUGCUGCCUACAUUCUGGGUGAAGUGUGUCGAGAUAAAUAUGAUGCUGUUUUGCCUCUUGUAAGACUAUUGCUGCACCAUCAAAAGAUAGUACCAUUUGUUACUGCAGUGGCCGAACUAGACUUGAAAGACACUCAAGAAGUAAACACAAUCUUCAGAGGAAACACCUUAGCUACUCGAUGUCUAGAUGAGAUGAUGAAAAUAGUGGGAAAGCACUACCUAAAAGUUACUUUAAAGCCAGUCCUAGAUGAGAUAUGCGAGUCCCCUAAACCCUGUGAAAUUGAUCCCAUCAAAUUAAAAGAAGGCGAUAAUGUAGAAGUUCACAAGGAAAAUCUACGUUACUAUGUCGAUAAAGUAUUCAAUACAAUUGUACAGUCAAGUAUAAGUUGCCCUACCUUAAUGUGUGAUGUGUUUUACUCUUUGAGACACCUGGCUGCCAAAAGAUUUCCAAAUGACCCUCAUGUACAGUAUUCUGCAGUGAGCAGCUUUGUGUUUCUUCGUUUCUUUGCUGUCGCUGUAGUCUCACCUCAUACUUUUCAUUUACGACCUCAUCAUCCAGAUGCACAAACUUCUAGAACAUUAACUCUUAUAUCAAAAACCAUCCAAACUUUGGGGAGCUGGGGAAGUUUGUCCAAAAGCAAGCUUUCAAGUUUCAAGGAGACAUUUAUGUGUGAAUUUUUCAAAAUGUUUCAAGAAGAAAAGUUUACAGAAGCUGUUCAAAAGUUUUUAGAUGAAGUGUCAUCUACUGAAAGUAAAGAGCCCAGUGGCAUGAGUGAACCAGUACAUCUAAAAGAAGGUGAAAUGUAUAAAAGAGCUCAGGGAAGAACUCGGAUUGGAAAAAAGAAUUUCAAGAAACGAUGGUUCUGCCUAACAAGCAGAGAGCUCACUUAUCACAAACAACGAGACAAAGAACCAAUUUACAACAUUCCAAUCAAAAACAUCCUCACUGUGGAGAAGCUUGAGGAGAGCGCCUUCAAUAGGAAAAAUAUGUUUCAAGUGAUUUAUGGAGAGAAGCCACUCUAUAUCCAGGCAAAUAACUGUGUGGAAGCUAGUGAGUGGAUAGAAGCUCUCUGCAGGGUAAGCAGGUGUAACCAGAAGAGACUGAGUGUUUAUCAUCCCUCCGCUUUUCUGAAUGGGAACUGGCUUUGCUGCAAGGCCACCACUGAGAAUACAAAGGGCUGCACUCCAUGCACUGCAGGUGUUCCUGCUGAUAUUCAAAUUGAGAUUGAUGGGGAUAGAGAAACCGAAAGAAUUUACUCACUUUUUGCUAUCAACAUGCCUAAACUACAAAAGAUGGAAGAGGCUUGUGGAAGUAUUGCAGUCUAUCAAGGUCCACAGAAAGAACUAGACGACUAUUCUAAUUUCACAAUUGAGGACUCUGUAGCAACUUUUCAAACUCUUCAACAAAUAAUAGCCAUAGUAGAAAAGCUGAAUGAGCCUCAUGAAAAAUAUCGGAAGAAAAGAUCAUCAAGUGCUAAAUACGGCAGUGAAGAAAACCCAAUUGUUGGAAAAGUUUCCUAACGAAAAUAAACUGUGGCUUAUGUGGAUUCAGAAGAAACUGGAAGUGUGUGUUUUUACGUGGUUUUUUUUAUAUAUAUUUUUUUUAAUUCAUGGUGUACACUUGUCCAAAGUAUUUAAGAAUGAACAGAAAUGCUACCUGUGUUCACAAUCUAUUUAAUAUUUAAUAGAGAAAAGUAUCUGGGAAACUGAUCGUGAGGUUUAUUCCUAUUUUGAUGAAGAACUUGAAGCUCCAUGUUCUUGAAGUAUCAGAUGUGAGCAAAUCUAAAUAUUUCUGCAAUUGCUUUUUUUUUCUUUCUUCUUGGAACUUCCUAAAGGAAUAAGCUUUCUAAAGGAGGAAAAUCAACACCAAUUAUUUACUGGAUUACACCUCUCAAUAUACUGGACUCACAUUUAAUCCACCAUCCGUGCCUGCUGUGCCGAAAAUCUUGCAGUGGAAAUCCCAACAUAUGAUGACUCAAUAGGAUCUGAACCUUCACAUUCAGUGCACGACUUCUUUCUCUUCCUUUGUCAAACUAUUAAUUUUAUCAGGACUCCAAGAUUAGCAACACUUUUUGGAAGCUAUCUUUCCUGCAAAUGAGAAGAAUGCAAAUGUGACAAUGCUGUGGUUGGAUACUGUUCACUUUACAUCUUUGCAUCUAAGAUUUUUUUGAAAAUAAAAAAUUGGCACAUUUAGGUCCAGCUCACCUCUCAUUACAGCUAUAUUAAAUAAUCUCUCUAGAAUAAUCACUCCAAGCACUUUAGAUAUCUGGACUGCGCCAGAUUAUAUUUUUAGAUACUUUGUAGUAUCUAAUCUUUAUGAUCAGUUGAAUGAUCAGUGCUGUUAUGUGUUUAAAACAAUGCUUUAUGACCAUUUUUAAUUUCUAGUUAUGUGGGUGGGGUUAUUUGUCAGAUCAAACAAAUUUGAACUGGCAUUCUUGACUUUAGAAAGUUUUGAUUCUUGCUCUCUUCCUCUGAGAAUUAGUUUUUUGUGCUGAAAACCAUAUCUGUACAUAAUCAGUAGAAGCAAGGUAACACUUCGGAGAAGAGAAGGCUAAACUUUCCUUCACCAGUAUUAAAUAUUAUGGUAUACAUGGUAAGUACCAGUAAAAUAAAAUACACUGUGUACAGGUAGUACUUCAUUUUUGUAACAUUUGCUGUUUUUUAGAAUCAUGAUUUGCCCCAGUCAGAGUUGAGAAUGUAAUUCAUCAGUACAAAUAUAGAUCCACAAUGUUUACAAAACUAUAAGCUGUUUAAAAUACUAUUGUAGGAUGCCUUCUUCUCCGAAAAUCCAGACUAGUCAGUACCACAGGAUUGAAAUCACUGUUGAAAUUAAGGUAACUUUUUUCUAUUAGAACAAUCACUUUUUAAUAUUAAAGCAACUGAUUGAAAUCACUUAGGAUUUGAUACCAAUAUCUUCAACAUCACAAUCAUUUAUUACUACUUGCCAUUUUACCAACAAGUAUAGUCCUUUUUGUUUUUGCAUUCCUUUAAGAAUAUAUCCAAUAGUAAAGUAAUUUUACUUGCCCUAAAUUUCAGUUAGAAAAAAAUAAAUUUAUUGUUGACACCCAGCAAUGUAUUCUGUCAAGGUCAAUUUGACCUAGUUUAUUUGCCAAAGAAACAAGGUUUGCCAGAUUUGAACAGCACUAAUAAGUGUUAGAAUUAAGUUUUGCUAUUUAUUGUGACCAGUCUUAUUACAAAAUGUGCUUGUGUGUCUGUUUCUUGAAACCUGUUUCUGUCACUUAACAGCAAAGUUACAUGUAUAACAAGUUUAAAUCUUACAAUAAUAUAAGGGGGGGGGAUUUUGAAAAUGCACUUUUCAUUUGCUUUGAUGGUACUAGACUGUAUAGAAAAGGACAGCUAGGCCUCUAAGACCUGAGGCCUUUAAAAUGUAAUUUGUCAUUUUAUAGUAUGUUUAAAAACGCAGUAGGUACUCUAGAAUUAAAUUAGGUACAAAUAAGAUGAUUAAUAUUAAAGUUGCUUUCACUUUGAUUAGCCUAGACAUUAAAACAUUGCUCAGUAAUUAGUUUUACUUUGACUGUAAAUUCUUUUUUAAUGUAGUUUUAAUUUGUAUAAGGAUGAUGUAUUGUUGAAAAUGUAUUUUUAUUUAAAUUUAUUUUCUUAUAAAAUAUUAAAAACUUUUGUAACAUUGCUUGAGAACAACUCACAAAUAAAU